rnacentral:rRNA from 1 species
AGCGAACGCUGGCGGCAGGCCUAAUACAUGCAAGUCGAGCGGCCGUAGCAAUACGGCAGCGGCAGACGGGAGAGUAACACGUGGGAACGUGCCCUUCAGUUCGGAACAACCCAGGGAAACUUGGGCUAAUACCGGAUACGCCCUUACGGGGAAAGAUUUAUCGCUGAUGGAGCGGCCCGCGUCUGAUUAGCUAGUUGGUGAGGUAACGGCUCACCAAGGCGACGAUCAGUAGCUGGUCUGAGAGGAUGAUCAGCCUCACUGGGACUGAGACACGGCCCAGACUCCUACGGGAGGCAGCAGUAGGGAAUAUUGGACAAUGGGCGCAAGCCUGCUCCAGCCAUGCCGCGUGAGUGAUGAAGGCCUUAGGGUUGUAAAGCUCUUUCGGCGGGGAAGAUAAUGACGGUACCCGCAGAAGAAGCCCCGGCUAACUUCGUGCCAGCAGCCGCGGUAAGAC